UACGUAGGUGGCAAGCGUUAUCCGGAUUUAUUGGGCGUAAAGGGAACGCAGGCGGUCUUUUAAGUCUGAUGUGAAAGCCUUCGGCUUAACCGGAGUAGUGCAUUGGAAACUGGGAGACUUGAGUGCAGAAGAGGAGAGUGGAACUCCAUGUGUAGCGGUGAAAUGCGUAGAUAUAUGGAAGAACACCAGUGGCGAAAGCGGCUCUCUGGUCUGUAACUGACGCUGAGGGUCGAAAGCGUGGGUAGCAAAUAGG
rnacentral:rRNA from 1 species